rnacentral:rRNA from 1 species
CUACGGGGGGCAGCAGUGAGGAAUAUUGCACAAUGGGGGGAACCCUGAUGCAGCAACGCCGCGUGGAGGAUGACGCAUUUCGGUGUGUAAACUCCUUUUAUAUGUCAAGAAAAUGACGGUAGCAUAUGAAUAAGCACCGGCUAACUCCGUGCCAGCAGCCGCGGUAAUACGGAGAGUGCAAGCGUUACUCGGAAUCACUGGGCGUAAAGGAAGCGUAGGCGGGCUUGUAAGUCAGGUGUGAAAUCCUACAGCUUAACUGUAGAACUGCACUUGAAACUACGAGCCUAGAGUAUGGGAGGGGGAGAUGGAAUUAGUGGUGUAGGGGUAAAAUCCGUAGAUAUCACUAGGAAUACCUAAAGCGAAGGCGAUCUCCUGGAACAUAACUGACGCUAAGGCGUGAAAGCGUGGGGAGCAAACAGGAUUAGAUACCCGUGUAGUC